rnacentral:lncRNA from 1 species
UGCUUAAAAAAUGUCAACAAAAAUAAAUUUAUGGAAUGUCAUUUUACAAAACUAGUGCAAACAAAAACAAAAACAUAAAAAUCCAACAUCCAAUGUCAAUAGAAUAUUAACAUGGCUUUCACCAAUAAAAUAAAAUAAUAUAAAAAAAUAGGGAGAUGAUACUUCUCAUAAAUCAUCUGCUAUGUUAAGGCCUAAAAAAAUGUUAUAUUAAAGAGAUCAAUCAAAAAUAAGUUAAUUUAUUGUUGUAUGGGUACUGUCAUAAAAAAUUCAUAAGGGUUCCACGGAACCCAGUGUCUCGCCUACUUUUGCUGUUAAUCGCAGACUCAACAAAAAUGAGGAAAAACAUCAAUAAAAAUUUCCCUCUCUAUACUGUCUUUUGAUUGAAAGAAGCUUCCAAGUUUGGUAAAAAAUCCAGGAUAGUUUAUGAAUCUAAUAAAUGUUUUAUAAACUUUAACUGCAGACUGUAUGUAAUGUUAACUGGAAG